GAAGCUACUAAAGCAGAAUAGAUGCCAGGGCAAGACAGCUACUAAUCCACGCCAAUGUCAGUCAAGCAUGUGUGUGACCGCUGAAACAACCUCUCAUACAAAUAGCUUGCUGGAGGUAGAAUAACUUGUAGGUAACUACCAUUUCAGGGUCACUUAAUUAUCUUUGAUACAAUUAAAUCUGAAGCCUUUUACCCAGAUGGAAAUCAUCUGAGCUUAGGAAAAAAUCAUAUUUGAAUACCAAUGAGGUGGUAUAAAACAUUCAUUAUAUAACAAGGUUUAAUUCCCAUUUCAUCUAAAAAGUGCCUACUACUGUAGGCAAAUGUAGCCAUUUUAAGAACUUUUUAGCCAGGUUUGCAAAAUCUCCAUGUGGCAAUCAGAGCAGAAGAGCUGGCCUCUCACCAGGCAGUCUUCUGAGGUAACAGGCCACUGGUUUUCUCUUCUCAAACCGAAAGCCAAGAGGUACAAUUUCCUAAUUAGGUCACAGGAAAAUGACUGAUUAGUUUAGAUCUGUGACUUGCCACCUCAGUCUGGAGACGGGCUGUAGUCUUUUCCUCACACAUGGGAGGUGACAAGUAUAGGUCCAAGAGCCCAGUGUUUGGGGCUGUCGCUUUGAGUGUUAGGGUGUUGGCUGCUCAGCCAGACAUCGAAGGAUCACCCAGCCCCUUUGCACUUCCUUCCGAGGAGGGACAGGACCUGGAUCACCCAGCCCCUUCGCACUUCCUUCUGAGGAGGGACAGGACCUGGAGCUCAGAUAUCAGGUGGCUUCUUCAAAUGAAUUUUUAAGUAUCUCAGUGAUGAUGAAGAAUAGAGACAUCAAUCAGGAUUCGGGAAGACAGCUUUUGCAGAAAAUGCUUACCAGGAAGCAGCAAGGACUGGUGUUGAUAUUUGAAAGUUUAAGAGAGGUAUACUUUUAUUCAGUCAACACAUGACAAAUGUAAAAGGCAGUCAUUUGUUGUUCCUGAAAGAAGACUUGCAGUAUUCUAUUCCCUUUCAUCAUCCCACUUUUUAUUUAUUGCAGUCCUUUCAGUCUGAAUAUUUCCUCCUGAGGCAUUUUCUGCCCUCAGAAAUGACUCCCUGCUCCCAGUUCCUGUAGCCCUUAUCACUGGCACCUUUCAUUUGACACAUUUCAUUACACCAUUAUUGAAUAAAUAUAUGUACGUCCUUCCCAAGUAUAUUAGAAAACUAUCUGAACAGUUUCUUUCUUUCCCAAUUCUCAGAAUCAGCAGUGUUCUGUCAAGAAAUAUUUAUCGACGAUGAUGGCAAUAGUCUAUUAAAAUCAGAUGAAGUUUUGUUUUUAAAAAAAGGGUGAGAGGAGAGACAAGGCUAAAGGUUUGGAAGUUGAGUCUCACAAGCAUCUUUAAUAAACGUUUCCUCAUCUAAGCGCUGUAUGUAGAUCAUUUUGGGGAGGGUAGAGAUUGAGGGAGGAAGAACAUCACUUGAGGAAGAGACAGCACUUUGUCUUUCGAGUUUCAAUAAAGUUUCAAAAAUCCUGCCUAAACUAUAUUUAUUUUUGGCCUUUCCCUUUUGAUGUGACAAUAAACUGUAAUGCGGCUGUCGGCUGUAUGAACCGAUAUUCAGCAGAAUACAUCUGAGCAUUUUCCUGUCAGAAAAAGAAGCGUUCGGUUCUGUCAUAGAUUUUAGAAUUA
ensembl:lncRNA